rnacentral:rRNA from 1 species
UCUUUACAUUACAGCUGAUAAUUAUCUUUAUUUGUAAAGUUUAAAACAAAGUAUUAACUGAAUGUUAUGUUGGGGUGACAAAUAUAUACAAAAGCUAACUGUUUUUUCAUUACACAAACUUAUUUGAGUUUUAUGAUCCUUUUUAAAGAUUUAAAGAUUAAGUU